rnacentral:rRNA from 1 species
UUGACCUCAAUUCAGUUGACUACCCGC